AGAGUUUGAUCCUGGCUCAGAUUGAACGCUGGCGGCAGGCCUAACACAUGCAAGUCGAGCGGUAGAGAGAAGCUUGCUUCUCUCGAGAGCGGCGGACGGGUGAGUAAUGCCUAGGAAUCUGCCUGGUAGUGGGGGAUAACGUUCGGAAACGGACGCUAAUACCGCAUACGUCCUACGGGAGAAAGCAGGGGACCUUCGGGCCUUGCGCUAUCAGAUGAGCCUAGGUCGGAUUAGCUAGUUGGUGGGGUAAUGGCUCACCAAGGCGACGAUCCGUAACUGGUCUGAGAGGAUGAUCAGUCACACUGGAACUGAGACACGGUCCAGACUCCUACGGGAGGCAGCAGUGGGGAAUAUUGGACAAUGGGCGAAAGCCUGAUCCAGCCAUGCCGCGUGUGUGAAGAAGGUCUUCGGAUUGUAAAGCACUUUAAGUUGGGAGGAAGGGUUGUAGAUUAAUACUCUGCAAUUCUGACGUUACCGACAGAAUAAGCACCGGCUAACUCUGUGCCAGCAGCCGCGGUAAUACAGAGGGUGCAAGCGUUAAUCGGAAUUACUGGGCGUAAAGCGCGCGUAGGUGGUUAGUUAAGUUGGAUGUGAAAUCCCCGGGCUCAACCUGGGAACUGCAUUCAAAACUGACUAACUAGAGUAUGGUAGAGGGUGGUGGAAUUUCCUGUGUAGCGGUGAAAUGCGUAGAUAUAGGAAGGAACACCAGUGGCGAAGGCGACCACCUGGACUGAUACUGACACUGAGGUGCGAAAGCGUGGGGAGCAAACAGGAUUAGAUACCCUGGUAGUCC
rnacentral:rRNA from 1 species